rnacentral:rRNA from 1 species
UAGGGAAUAUUCCACAAUGAGCGAAAGCUUGAUGGAGCGACACAGCGUGCACGAUGAAGGCCCUCGGGUUGUAAAGUGCUGUUGCAAGGGAAGAACACUUAGUUGAGGAAAUGCAACUAAGCUGACGGUACCUUGUUAGAAAGCGAUGGCUAACUAUGUGCCAGCAGCCGCGGUAAUACAUAGGUCGCAAGCGUUAUCCGGAAUUAUUGGGCGUAAAGCGUUCGUAGGCUGUUUAUUAAGUCUGGAGUCAAAUCCCAGGGCUCAACCCUGGCUCGCUUUGGAUACUGGUAAACUAGAGUUGGAUAGAGGUAAGCGGAAUUCCAUGUGAAGCGGUGAAAUGCGUAGAUAUAUGGAAGAACACCAAAGGCGAAGGCAGCUUACUGGGUCUAUACUGACGCUGAGGGACGAAAGCGUGGGGAGCAAACAGGAUUAGAUACCCUGGUAGUCCACGCCGUAAACGAUGAUCAUUAGUCGGUGGGAGCCACUGACGCAGCUAACGCAUUAAAUGAUCCGCCUGAGUAGUAUGCUCGCAAGAGU